rnacentral:rRNA from 1 species
UACGGAGGGUGCAAGCGUUAUCCGGAUUCACUGGGUUUAAAGGGCGCGUAGGCGGCCACCGCAAGUCGAUUGUGAAAUCUCCGGGCUUAACCCGGAAAGGUCAACCGAUACUGCGGGGCUAGAGUGCAGAAGGGGCAACUGGAAUUCUCGGUGUAGCGGUGAAAUGCGUAGAUAUCGAGAGGAACACCUGCGGCGAAGGCGGGUUGCUGGGCUGACACUGACGCUGAGGCGCGAAAGCUAGGGGAGCGAACGGG